rnacentral:rRNA from 1 species
AUUGAACGCUGGCGGCAUGCUUUACACAUUCAAGUCGAACGGCAGCGCGGGCUUCGGCCUGGCGGCGAGUAGCGAACGGGUGAGUAAUGCAUUGGAACUUGCACAGUAGUGGGGGAUAGCCCGUCGAAAGCCGGAGUAAUACCGCAUACGACCUGAGGGUGAAAACGGGGGACCGAAACUCCUCUCGGUAUUGGAGCGACCGAUGGCGGAUUAGCUAGUGGGUGGGGUAAAGGCUUACCAAGGCGACGAUCCGUAGCUGGUCUGAGAGGACGACCAGCCACACUGGGACUGCGACACGGCCCAGACUCCUACGGGAGGCAGCAGUGGGGAAUUUUGGACAAUGGGGGCAACCCUGAUCCAGCCAUGCCGCGUGCGGGAAGAAGGCCUUCGGGUUGUAAACCGCUUUUGUUCGGGAAGAAAUCCUCUGGGCUAAUACCCCGGGGGGAUGACGGUACCGGAAGAAUAAGCACCGGCUAACUACGUG